rnacentral:rRNA from 1 species
UACGAAGGGGGCUAGCGUUGCUCGGAAUCACUGGGCGUAAAGCGCACGUAGGCGGAUCGUUAAGUCGGAGGUGAAAUCCUGGAGCUCAACUCCAGAACUGCCUUCGAUACUGGCGAUCUUGGAGUCCGGGAGAGGUGAGUGGAACUCCGAGUGUAGAGGUGAAAUUCGUAGAUAUUCGGAAGAACACCAGUAGCGAAGGCGGCUCACUGGCCCGGUACUGACGCUGAGGUGCGAAAGCGUGGGGAGCAAACAGG